rnacentral:rRNA from 1 species
AUUGAACGCUGGCGGCAUGCUUUACACAUGCAAGUCGAACGGUAACAGGCCUUCCGGUGCUGACGAGUGGCGAGCGGGGGAGUAAUGCAUCGAAACGGGCCCAGAGGUGGGGGGAAAGGGAUCAAAACGGGUGAUAGUACCGAAUGUGGUCUGAGAUUGAGAACGGGAGGCUAAGAAAGAGAAUUUGGCCUCUCCCCUCUGGUAUGGAUGGUGUCAGAUUGGGUAGUUGGUGGGGUAAGGGCCUACCAAGCCAACGAUCCGUAGCGGGUCUGAGAGGACGACCGGCCACACUGGGACUGAGACACGGCCCAGACUCCUACGGGAGGCAGCAGUGGGGAAUUUUGGACAAAGGGCGAAAGCCUGAUCCAGCAAUGCCGCGUGCGUGAAGAAGGUCUUCGGGUUGUAAACCGCUUUUGUACGGAACGAAAAGGCUCUGGCGAAUACCUGCACGUGAUGACGGUACCGUAAGAAUAAGCACCGGCUAACUACGUG